AGAUUGAACGCUGGCGGCAGGCCUAACACAUGCAAGUCGAGCGGUAGAGAGGUGCUUGCACCUCUUGAGAGCGGCGGACGGGUGAGUAAAGCCUAGGAAUCUGCCUAGUGGUGGGGGAUAACGUUCGGAAACGGACGCUAAUACCGCAUACGUCCUACGGGAGAAAGCGGGGGACCUUCGGGCCUCGCGCCAUUAGAUGAGCCUAGGUCGGAUUAGCUAGUUGGUGAGGUAAUGGCUCACCAAGGCGACGAUCCGUAACUGGUCUGAGAGGAUGAUCAGUCACACUGGAACUGAGACACGGUCCAGACUCCUACGGGAGGCAGCAGUGGGGAAUAUUGGACAAUGGGCGAAAGCCUGAUCCAGCCAUGCCGCGUGUGUGAAGAAGGUCUUCGGAUUGUAAAGCACUUUAAGUUGGAGGAAGGUUGUAACCUAAUACGUUGCAAUUUGACGUUACCGACAGAAUAAGCAACCGGCUAACUUCGUGCCAGCAGCCG
rnacentral:rRNA from 1 species